rnacentral:lncRNA from 1 species
AGCUAGACUGAUCUUACCUGUAAGGAAACUGUGAAGGAAUGAAAGACGGUUAACUUUUCUCCGGGCUUCCAACGUCGGUAUUUUAUUGCGCUUCAUCAAGUCUGUGGGGCAAUCUAGACGUUUAUACUUGCCAAAUAUAAAUCGAACUGCUUUCCGCUGAACGUUUUCUAGCUGUGCAAUACCUUUUUGAUUAUGUGGAUCCCCCAAGAAAAAUUCAAA